rnacentral:rRNA from 1 species
CCUGGCUCGGGGUAGCCGGUCCGCCUUGCAAAAGGUGCGCACUGUGCGGCCUCGGCCAUCCUUUAGAAAAGCGGUUCUGGCAUUCAGUUGUCGGGGUCGGGCUUCUAAACGUUUACUGUGAAAAAAUCAGAGUGUUCAACGCAGGCUUACGCCUUGAAUACAUUAGCAUGGAAUAAUGAGAUAGGACUUUGGCGGUCUAUUUUGUUGGUUUGCACGCCGAAGUAAUGAUUAACAGGGACGGUUGGGGUUCUUUGUAUUCAAUUGUCAGAGGUGAAAUUCUUGGAUUUAUGGAAGACAAACUGCUGCGAAAGCGUCGAACAAGGACGUUCUCAUUAAUCAAGAACGAAAGUUAGGGGAUCGAAGAUGAUUAGAUACCAUCGUAGUCUUAACCAUAAACUAUGCCGAUUCAGGAUUGGCGGUCGUUUGUUCUCGACUCCGUCAGCACUGUAUGAGAAAUCAAAAUCUUUGGGUUCCGGGGGGAGUAUGGU